UAGCCGUAAACGAUACUCGCUAGGUGUCGGCCACGGUGCGACCGUUGUCGGUGCCGUAGGGAAGCCGUGAAGCGAGCCACCUGGGAAGUACAGCCGCAAAGCUGAAACUUAAAGGAAUUGGCGGGGGAGCACAACAACGGGUGGAGCUUGCGGUUUAAUUGGAUUCAACGCCGGAAAUCUUACCGGGACCGACAGCAACAUGAAGGCCAAGCUGAAGACUUUGCCGGAUUAGCUGAGAGGAGGUGCAUGGCGUAGUCGUGU
rnacentral:rRNA from 1 species